rnacentral:rRNA from 1 species
GACGAACGCUGGCGGCGUGCUUAACACAUGCAAGUCGAACGGAAAGACCCUACGUUUGUGGGGUUCUCGAUUGGCGAACGCGGGAGUAACACGUGUGUAUCCUGCCCUUGACUUUGUGGUAACUUCACGAAACUGGGGCUAAUAUCGGAUAGGAUCUUCUGCUCCAUGGUGGGGGUAGGAAAGUUUCGGCGUUUUGGGAUGGACUCGCGGCUUAUCAGCUUGUUGGUGGGGUAGUGGCUUACCCAGCCUUUGACGGGUAGCCGGCCUUAGAGGGUGAGCGGCGACAUGGGGACUGAGGGACGGCGCAGAGUGGUACGGGAGGCAACGGGGGGAAAUAUUGCACAAUGGGCGGGAGCCUGAUGCAGAAACCCUGCGGGCGGGAUGACUGUUUUCUGGGUGAAAACCGCUUUCGCCUGUGACGAAGCGUGAGUGACGGUAAUGAGUAAAGAAGCACCGGCUAACUACGUG